AAUCAACGCUGGCGGCGUGCCUAACACAUGCAAGUCGAACGCGAAAGCCCGCAAGGGGUAAGUAGAGUGGCGCACGGGUGAGUAACACGUGGACAACCUGCCUUCGAGUGGGGAAUAACCUUCCGAAAGGAGGGCUAAUACCGCAUAACACCUCGGGACACGAGUUCUGGGGUUGAAAAGAGCAAUUUGCUCGAAGAGGGGUCCGCGCCUGAUUAGCUAGUUGGUGAGGUAACGGCUCACCAAGGCUUCGAUCAGUAGCCGUCCUGAGAGGGAGCACGGCCACACUGGAACUGAGACACGGUCCAGACUCCUACGGGAGGCAGCAGUGGGGAAUUUUUGGCAAUGGGCGAAAGCCUGACC
rnacentral:rRNA from 1 species